CUACGGGGGGCUCCAGUGAGGAAUAUUGCACAAUGGGGGGAACCCUGAUGCAGCAACGCCGCGUGGAGGAUGACGCAUUUCGGUGUGUAAACUCCUUUUAUAUGUCAAGAAAAUGACGGUAGCAUAUGAAUAAGCACCGGCUAACUCCGUGCCAGCAGCCGCGGUAAUACGGAGGGUGCAAGCGUUACUCGGGAUCACUGGGCGUAAAGGACGCGUAGGCGGGUUGGAAAGUCAGGUGUGAAAUCCUACAGCUUAACUGUAGAACUGCACUUGAAACUUCUAAUCUAGAGUAUGGGAGGGGGAGAUGGAAUUAGUGGUGUAGGGGUAAAAUCCGUAGAUAUCACUAGGAAUACCUAAAGCGAAGGCGAUCUCCUGGAACAUUGCUGACGCUAAGGCGUGAAAGCGUGGGGAGCAAACAGGAUUAGAUACCCCGGUAGUC
rnacentral:rRNA from 1 species